rnacentral:rRNA from 13 species
UGAACUUCAAAGGCAGAGCCGAGUUUGUGCGGCUCAUGCUGGAGGAUGCUGGCAUCCAAUACGAAGAAACAAGCGAGAACCUCUACGGGCCCACAGGACUCUGCGAUGCUUUCCGCGCAGCCGGGAGUGGCGCCGAAGGCCUCGAGGCUGGUGCAGAGAAGAACAUCAUGGCUGACACCAGCCCGUGGCCUGUGAUGUU